rnacentral:rRNA from 1 species
GACGAACGCUGGCGGCGUGCCUAAUACAUGCAAGUCGAGCGCAGGAAACUGACGGAACUCUUCGGAGGGAAGGCAGUGGAAUGAGCGGCGGACGGGUGAGUAACACGUAAGGAACCUGCCUCAAGGAUUGGGAUAACUCCGAGAAAUCGGAGCUAAUACCGGAUAGUUCAUCGGACCGCAUGGUCCGUUGAUGAAAGGCGCUCCGGCGUCACCUUGAGAUGGCCUUGCGGUGCAUUAGCUAGUUGGGGGGGUAACGGCCCACCAAGGCGACGAUGCAUAGCCGACCUGAGAAGGUGAUCGGCCACACUGGGACUGAGACACGGCCCAGACUCCUACGGGAGGCAGCAGUAGGGAAUCUUCCACAAUGGACGAAGGUCUGAUGGAGCAACGCCGCGUGAGUGAUGAAGGUUUUCGGAUCGUAAAACUCUGUUGUAAGGGAAGAACACGUACGAGAGGGAAUGCUCGUACCUUGACGGUACCUUACGAGAAAGCCACGGCUAACUACGUGCCAGCCGCCGCGGUAA